GAUGAACGCUGGCGGUGUGCCUAAUACAUGCAAGUCGAGCGAACAGACGAGGAGCUUACUCCUCUGACGUUAGCGGCGGACGGGUGAGUAACACGUGGAUAACCUACCUAUAAGACUGGGAUAACUUCGGGAAACCGGAGCUAAUACCGGAUAACAUGUUGAACCGCAUGGUUCAACAGUGAAAGACGGUCUUGCUGUCACUUAUAGAUGGAUCCGCGUCGCAUUAGCUAGUUGGUAAGGUAACGGCUUACCAAGGCAACGAUGCGUAGCCGACCUGAGAGGGGGAUCGGCCACACUGGAACUGAGACACGGUCCAGACUCCUACGGGAGGCAGCAGUAGGGAAUCUGCCGCAAUGGGCGAAAGCCUGACGGAGCAACGCCGCGUGAGUGAAGAAGGUCUUCGGAUCGUAAAACUCUGUUAUUAGGGAAGAACAAAUGUGUAAGUAACUAUGCACGUCUUGACGGUACCUAAUCAGAAAGCCACGGCUAACUACGUG
rnacentral:rRNA from 1 species